CUAUGCAUCCCUAGCUGGCCUAGGACUUGCUAUGUAAACCAGGCUGGUCUUGAACUCACAGAGACCCACUUGCUCCUGUCUCCUGAGUGUUGGGUUUAUAGACAUGCACCAUCACAUCUGGCCCACCUUGUGUUUUGAGAAAGGGUCUCUCACUGGCCUAGAACUCACCAAGUUUGUGACAUCACAGGAGAGCCUUUUGUGUCUCCAUGCUGUUUCCACCAGAGGCAGCCAGGUCCCUGCAGAACCUCAAGGCCACCUUUGACAGCAACCUGUCAAGUGCUGAAGGAGUCUCCUUGCACCUCUUUGCUUCAAGGGACUUAGAAAUCCCACAUCUGGAGACAUCACUCUGGAGUAACCAACUUGGACCACUGGAAACUCUGGUCAGUCUUGACUGUACUCUGCUGGAUUUGGCAUCUUCUAGGAGAAACGACUCUGGGCACAUCUGUGAAGAUACAUCCAGGGAGGUUUACUUGAGGAGGGAAGACAUCCUGAAUGCUGGUGUCACCAUCCCAUCACCUGGGGUUCUGAACUGUAUAAAAAGGAGAAAGUGAGCUGAGCACCAGCAACCUGCUUCCUGACUACAGAUGCAAUGUGACCCGCGGCCUCAGGCUCUCGCCCUGAUGGAUGGUGCCUGUGGGGCACGAGCCAGAAUAAACCCUCCCUUCCUGAACUUGGUUUUGUUACCUCAACAAUGAAAGUAAAAACAAAACAUGAAA